GAUGAACGCUAGCGGCAGGCUUAAUACAUGCAAGUCGGAUGUGCCGCAAGGUGCAUGGCAGACGGGUGAGUAACGCGUGGGGAAUCUACCUCUUAGUGGGGAAUAACGCUCCGAAAGGAGUGGUAAUACCGCAAGAGACCUUCGGCUGGGAUGCUGGAGGUGAAACCUGGGGACCGCAAGGCCUGGGGCUAGGAGAGGAUCCUGCGUCUGAUUAGCUAGUUGGCGGGGUAAUGGCCCACCAAGGCGACGAUCAGUAGCCGGCCUGAGAGGGUGAUCGGCCACACUGGAACUGAGACACGGUCCAGACUCCUACGGGAGGCAGCAGUGGGGAAUAUUGGACAAUGGGCGAAAGCCUGAUCCAGCCAUGCCGCGUGUGUGAAGAAGGUCUUCGGAUUGUAAAGCACUUUAAGUUGGGAGGAAGGACUGUAAGCCAAUACCUUGCAGUUUUGACGUUACCGACAGAAUAAGCACCGGCUAACUUCGUGCCAGCCGCCGCGGUAACAC
rnacentral:rRNA from 1 species